GCGGGAGUAGCUCAACCGGCCAGAGCCCUAUCCUGCCUGGAUAGCAGAUUCAGGUUCGAUUCCUGACUCCCGCU
rnacentral:tRNA from 1 species